rnacentral:rRNA from 1 species
UCCUUUAGAGAUAGACGAGUGCCUUCGGGAACGCUGAGACAGGUGCUGCAUGGCUGUCGUCAGCUCGUGUUGUGAAAUGUUGGGUUAAGUCCCGCAACGAGCGCAACCCUUAUCCUUUGUUGCCAGCACGUAAUGGUGGGAACUCAAAGGAGACUGCCGGUGAUAAACCGGAGGAAGGUGGGGAUGACGUCAAGUCAUCAUGGCCCUUACGAGUAGGGCUACACACGUGCUACAAUGGCAGAUACAAAGAGAAGCGACCUCGCGAGAGCAAGCGGAACUCAUAAAGUCUGUCGUAGUCCGGAUUGGAGUCUGCAACUCGACUCCAUGAAGUCGGAAUCGCUAGUAAUCGUAGAUCAGAAUGCUACGGUGAAUACGUUCCCGGGCCUUGUACACACCGCCCGUCACACCAUGGGAGUGGGUUGCAAAAGAAGUAGGUAGCUUAACCUUCGGGAGGGCGCUUACCA